rnacentral:rRNA from 1 species
AACGAACGCUGGCGGCAUGCCUCAUACAUGCAAGUCGAACGAAGUCUUCGGACUUAGUGGCGCACGGGUGAGUAACAUGUGGGAAUCUACCUAAAGGUUCGGAAUAACUGCGGGAAACUGUAGCUAAUACCGGAUGUGUCUGCAAAGAGAAAGAUUUAUCGCCUUUAGAUGAGCCCGCACUAGAUUAGCUAGUUGGUGAGGUAACUGCUCCACCAAGGCUACGAUCUAUAGCUGAUUUGAGAGGAUGAUCAGCCACACUGGGACUGAGACACGGCCCAGACUCCUACGGGAGGCAGCAGUAGGGAAUAUUGGACAAUGGGGGAAACCCUGAUCCAGCAAUGCCGCGUGAGUGAAGAAGGCCCUCGGGUUGUAAAACUCUUUCAUCAAUGAUGAUAAUGAC